rnacentral:rRNA from 1 species
GACGAACGCUGGCGGCGUGCCUAAUACAUGCAAGUUGAGCGCUGAAGGUUGGUACUUGUACCAACUGGAUGAGCAGCGAACGGGUGAGUAACGCGUGGGGAAUCUGCCUUUGAGCGGGGGACAACAUUUGGAAACGAAUGCUAAUACCGCAUAAAAACUUUAAACACAAGUUUUAAGUUUGAAAGAUGCAAUUGCAUCACUCAAAGAUGAUCCCGCGUUGUAUUAGCUAGUUGGUGAGGUAAAGGCUCACCAAGGCGAUGAUACAUAGCCGACCUGAGAGGGUGAUCGGCCACAUUGGGACUGAGACACGGCCCAAACUCCUACGGGAAGCAGCAGUAGGGAAUCUUCGGCAAUGGACGAAAGUCUGAACGAGCAACGCCGCGUGAGUGAAGAAGGUUUUCGGAUCGUAAAACUCUGUUGGUAGAGAAGAACGUUGGUGGGAGUGGAAAGCUCAUCAAGUGACGGUAACUACCCAGAAAGGGACGGCUAACUACGUG